CAGGGAGACAGUGUCACUCUCCUGUGACCGGGCACAGAUGAGGUUUGGGCACAGGAGGGGCUCAAAAGGAGUCAGUGUGGGCCGGGGCAGGCCAGGCUGGCUUCCUGGAGGAGGCUGGGCGCUGUACCAUGGCAGGGAUUGGAGAACUGAUGUCAGAGUCCCUGGCACAUUCCUCCUGGCGACCAGGAGGCACAUCCAGGGGGCAGUACCACACCCUGCAGGCUGGCUUCAGCUCUCGCUCUCAGGGCCUGAGUGGGGACAAGACCUCGGGCUUCCGGCCCAUCGCCAAGCCGGCCUACAGCCCAGCCUCCUGGUCCUCCCGCUCCGCCAUAGAUCUGAGCUACAGUCGGAGGCUGAGUUCCGCCCACAACGGGGGCAGCGCCUUUGGGGCCACUGGGUACGGGGGUGCCCAGCCCACCCGUCCCAUGCCCACCAGGCCUG
rnacentral:sRNA from 1 species